rnacentral:rRNA from 1 species
GACGAACGCUGGCGGCGUGCCUAACACAUGCAAGUCGAACGGAGUUAAGUGCUUCGGUAUUUAACUUAGUGGCGAACGGGUGAGUAACGCGUGAGAAACCUGCCUUUCAGUGGGGGACAACAGUUGGAAACGACUGCUAAUACCGCAUGAUACUUUUUGGGGGCAUCCCCGAAAAGUCAAAGCUUUAUGUGCUGAAAGAUGGUCUCGCGUCUGAUUAGCUAGUUGGCGGGGUAACGGCCCACCAAGGCGACGAUCAGUAGCCGGACUGAGAGGUUGAACGGCCACAUUGGGACUGAGACACGGCCCAG